GUUGGGGAUUCAGGAGACAAUAGAAUCAAGUUUAGCUUUUGGUAGAGCUAUUGAUGCUUUUUUGAGGACUAGUUUGAUUUGUGGGUUACUGAGUCGUGAAUAUGUGAGUAAUGGUAUCAAAUACUUUGAUGAGGAUUGUUGCACCUUGUUGGAAGCCUUCUGUUGAGGGUGAUAAUUCUAGCAGCGGUGGAGAUGAUAAUGGUCGGGCUGAUGGAUUGUUGUGGUACAAAGAUUCAGGACACCAUGUAAAUGGGGAGUUCUCAAUGGCUGUAAUUCAAGCAAACAAUCUAUUGGAAGACUGUAGCCAACUUGAAUCAGGUCCAAUGAGCUUGCUUGAAUCGGGUCCUCAAGGC
rnacentral:misc_RNA from 1 species